rnacentral:misc_RNA from 1 species
GAUGAAGAACGUAGCGAAAUGCGAUACGUAAUGUGAAUUGCAGAAUUCAGUGAAUCAUCGAGUCUUUGAACGCACAUUGCGCCCCCUGUUAUUCCGGGGGGCAUGCCUGUCCGAGCGUCAUUGCUGCCCUCAAGCACGGCUUGUGUGUUGGGCCUCCGUCCUCCUCCCGGGGGACGGGCCCGAAAGGCAGCGGCGGCACCGCGUCCGUUCCUCGAGCGUAUGGGGCUUCGUCACCCGCUCUUGUAGGCCCGGCCGGCGCUUGCCGACACAUCAAUCUUUUUUCCAGGUUGACCUCGGAUCAGGUAGGGAUACCCGCUGAACUUAAGCAUAUCAAUAAGCGGAGGA